rnacentral:rRNA from 1 species
AUACGGAGGAUCCGAGCGUUAUCCGGAUUUAUUGGGUUUAAAGGGUGCGCAGGCGGCCAUUUAAGUCAGCGGUUAAAUCGUGGGGCUCAACCCCAUUCUGCCGUUGAUACUGGGUGGCUUGAUUGCGGUCGAGGUUGGCGGAAUUCGUUGUGUAGCGGUGAAAUGCAUAGAUAUGACGAAGAACACCGAUUGCGUAGGCAGCCGACCAGACCGCAAAUGACGCUCAUGCACGAAAGUGCGGGGAUCGAACAGGAUUAGAUACCCUGGUAGUCCGCACAGUAAACGAUGAAUACUUGUUUUCGGCGAUAUAAUGUCGGAGGCAAAGCGAAAGCGAUAAGUAUUCCACCUGGGGAGUACGCCGGCAACGGUGAAACUCAAAGGAAUUGACGGGG